rnacentral:tRNA from 10 species
UUUUACGUGGUCAAAUAGACUAUAUUCUUGAAAAAUCCCUCUAGCUCUGCCCUGCUGCUUUCACUUUUCAUGAUUCUAGAAAAUGCCAAACAAAUGAAGAGUUGAUGAUGUCAACCAACUCAAAUGGAUUUGUGUCACAUGCGUAGUCCUAGACGCGUUCCUAUAUUUGAGCUUGCCCAUUUCAAUUCCUAGGUGCUCUGCUCCGUACAAAUUAUUUGAUCUACUCUCAAUUUUGCUAAGACAGGCAAGUGGUCAUAUUCAAUUCUCUAAUUCUGAUUCAGGAGUAAGAUGACUUUGGUUGCUUGAGAAUCUAACAUAGUUACCUGACCUUAAGAAGUUGCUUGAUAUCGAUUUUGAAAAUGUCAAGGCUAGUUCAUCUUCAAAUCCACAGAAUCAUCCACUAGUACAUCAGUUCCGGUAAGCUGUCUGGAUAGUUAAUAGGGGAAACAUAAAGGAAAUAUCCCAAGCUGAUAUGUUUCUUUUUAUACAUAAACACAAGAAUGGAGAAUUGGAUGAGGAAAGCAUGAGAAUUUUGUUUGAAUAUAAGCAGCAAAUAUCUCAAAAUUUAGAGAAUUCUGAGAAUCUUGAAGCUCAAAAUGAAAUCUUUGCUCAUGUAAUGGGGCACAACAAAGCUGGCCAUGUGUCUCUUUAUGAAAGAGGUGCGACUGCUUCAGAUUAGAAGAAAAAACCACCUUCAUUUGAUUCCAUGGAUGCCCAAAGAAUUGUUGAAAAUGCUAGAAGAGUUGUUAUGGAUGAGAUGAAAGAAGUGAAAAAUGAAUUAGAAUAGGAGAUGCAAAAAAAGUUGGAGCAGCAAGUACAAUCUAUCGAGACUGAAAUGAUAGAUCAAGUUCUAACUAUCAAAUCAGCAAUUUUGCAGCAAAUUAACUUGUUGAUCUCACAAUUACAAAUGAGGUUUCCUAGGCCAGCAACUUCAACCAUAAAUGACCGGCCAUCAACUUCUUCACAAAUGGUAAGGAAGGCUAGGAACUGCAAUGUCAACUGGUUUUGUUAGGUUGGAGAAUGGACAAAUAAAUAUGUAUAGAGAGGAAUUAGAGAGAAUAAGAGAGAAAGAGAGAGAGAUGACUAAAAUUAGUUAAGGAUUAGUUCUACUAUAAACAUUUGAUUCCAUACGGUAAACAUUGUAAAGACCUUUGAAAAUGAUUUUUAAAGCAUUUAAUUUUUGAGGC